rnacentral:lncRNA from 1 species
AUUUGCAGGUUACCACACUAAAUACACACAUCCGAGAGAACGUUUGGUGCAUGAAGAAGAAAGCAGAAGAGUCCUAGGGUGGAGAUGAAGAUGAUAUGAGAUAUGGAAAAUAUCUAGGUCCAAGUGGCCCCUGCAGUGCCAGGUGUCCCCAAAGGAGGGAAUUCCUGCAGACGUGGAAGACUUGCUCUCCUCUGAGAGUUCAGGGAUCUGACUGCAGACCUCGUUGUUGCCAGCUCCUGGUGUGAUGUUGGGCAAGUCAGCAUGCCUUCUCUUACCUCAACGUGCUCAUCAGUAAAUCUGGAUGAACUCUGAGAUCUUUACACAGCUGCUUAACAGCCUAAUUCUGAGGUUUAUUUUUGGUGGCCAGGAACUAGAAAGAAGUCUCUUGGCAAAAUUUUGCUUGUGGACCCUGAAUUUAACGGGAUCCAUGGCAAGGUCAUUGAUAUCUUUAAUCCCCAGAUAUCUCCCAGUAAGUAAACUCAGAUAAUAAAACCGGGAUCUCUAGUUAUUAAGAACAUGGUGUUCUUCAAUCUCUGACUCCAUCUAGAGCCUCCCUCUCUGCUGGGUCCAUCAGGUUCCAAUCGGUGCUAUGGGCCUAUCUGUUGUCCCUCAGGAGCUCCUUGAUCCUGGUUGGGUUACUGUUUGCUUCCAGGGCUGUAAUUCCUACAGAGGGAGCAAACUCAAGAAUACAAUAGUCCUCUAUAUUGGUGGCCUGUGGUCUGGGGUUCGGUGCUUAACCUUUCCCACCUACAGAAAGAAUCUACCUGCCUAACCUGUUCAGGGUGGCAGAAAAAGGUUGUUUGCAUUUCCAACUCCCUGUGGAAUUCAGUUUCCAUGCCUGCUUUUCAGUCCCUCUGCUCAGCCCUAGACUCAUAGCUGAGUAGGUUGGCUGCGGGACCUGAGGAAUUCAUCAAUCUACAAGUUUUCACUAGGGGGAAAUAUCCAUUCCUUAGAAUGAAGAUUGAAGUUUUCCCAGGACUGCCGAAGUAACCGCCGAUGCACAAUGAAAUGCUGUCAAAUUCUCACAGCAAGAAUUUCCCAGAAGGCAACAGAUCUUGGAAUAUGGGAAAUGGACCAAGGAGAAGCCUUAAAGAAUGGACAAGUACAUUCUAGCAGCUUGUGUAGUCUACAUAAAGAAAAGGGCUCUCAGAUCUCAUCGGCUCACUUCAAUAACCAGGCCUGAGUGUCUAUUCCAUGCUAGGCACUGGGCCUUUAGUCAACAGGGCAGAAGGAACUUCAUGAGCAAAACUCAGAGGUAGGAAAUAGCAUGGGGUAUGCGGGGACUGCCAAGCCCUUGGCGUUGGUGGAAGGUGAGUCAGUGGGCGGCAGGAGAUGUGCCUAUGGAGGUAAGCAGAGGCCAGAGGAUGGAGAACCUACAUCAAGAAACAUAGGAUUUUUAAGUUUGGGAUUGAAAUGGUACCUCGGCACUUGCUCCAUCCCUAGGGCUCUGACUGCCCUGGCGGCUGUGACAUUUGCUGCAACAAGAUCUGUUUUUCAGGGUCCUCGCUGAUCUCUGAAAAUCCGCUGUGUGCUGCUCACAUUUUCAGACUUAGCAAUGCUGAUGAGACACUUUCUAGAGAUCCACGGCAAACAGGAGGGAGAAACUAGCCCCAGGCAGACAUCCCCAUGUUUGGUGUCACCUCCAGGUGCUACAGAAGAACGGCUGCAGCAAGGACAAUUGAUCCACUGGGUCAAGGUAGUGGUGUUCAUGUUCUUUCUGAAUGUGCAGCACUUGCUGACAAUGCUGGGCUGGUGCCGGAGAGCCAACUGGUUCUUUCCAUCAUUCCUCCCACUGGUGGACUUGGACGGCCCCAGAGCCCUGUGACCCAGCUUGAAGAGCCACCCCCUAGCUGCUGGAUCCUGAAGUCCCUGCCACUGUGAACUGCAGUGUACAAAUCAGGUGACCCUAUUUAACCUGGCAAUGAAAGGUCUUGGCAGCAGAAGCAGAGCAGUAUGGGUUGGUACAUAAACACAGGAAUUUUAAAAAAAGGCUCAUACCAGUUUGAAAAGAGCAGGUAGAAUCCAUCAAAAAGGCAAAAUCUAAAACUAGCAGGAAGAGCUGUCUCCCAUCGUGUGAGAGGGACUGCCAACAAAGAUUUUGUUCAAAUAAGAGAAUUAUUAAGAAAUAGAUGACCAAGAACUUUUAAAAUCAAUGACGGAUGUUUGUUUUCCAG